rnacentral:lncRNA from 1 species
CUGAAGCUUCCUGCCAUGCUUGCCCAUUAAUGCUGAUAUUCUCUUGCACAGCUGAUUCAAAAGUCCACUGCGCAUCUCGCAGAGCGGGCUCCCGAAUCUCCUCCGGCAGAGCGUCCCCGAGCUUUUGCACGAAGCGGCCGCACAGUUGUAGCAUUUCGGUCACAGCCCGCUUCGAGGUGCAGCGCACCCGAAAGUCUUCUCGGGGAGUGGCGGAGACCAAGGCCUGGCUCUCUG